CAGAGAUCAGAAGUAGACUUCAGAAUGUACUAUUCAAAAAAGGAUGCAAUGGAGAACAUUUACAGAGGACUGUGGGUAAAGCAAAGUCUUCAAGGGAAGAUAACAAAGGAUGAAACAAUGGUGUUGUGUGACUUCCUAGUGUGAAUCAUGGCAAUACAGUGAAAGACAGUGAUUUACUGCUUUUGAGGGCGUGCAUGUAUAUGAUUAACGGAUGGAAGUGCAGGACUCCAAGAUUUACUUCCUUCCCUUUCCAGCAGAAUUACCUGAGACGAGUAAAAUCUACUGGUGGAGUCACUCCAUUAUUCUUAUCUGUGGAGAUCUAGAUCUUGAUUUGAAAGUUUCUGAGAAAAUCUUCAGCUCAGACUUGAGGGUCAACUUUACCAGCUGAAGUGACUACAUCCUGCCUGCUUUCAGCUCCAGUGGAAAAUGCAUUAAUCCCAGAGUCUCCGUGAGGUUUCCUGUUUGAUGACAUAAUCAGAAAAUCCUCCUCACAUUGCCCUUGGGGUUGCUGUCUGGAUGUUAUGUUGUCUUGGAUCUGCAUUUACUGCUCAACCACAUCUAAUUUGAUGUCCUCUGCAGAUUUAAAAUGUGUGCCUUCUUUUCCGUCACCAAGUCAUCCCUGGGUUACUACUGAACAUCCUUCUCAAUUCCCCCCGACCCAUGGAUGGCUGUUCUCCAUUGUCUGUUUCACCAGAUGUCCUCAAAACAAACAGACAGAAGAAGGAAGUGGCUAAUGGAGCUGUGGAGUCCAAGUGUGACUGCCAAGAGGAAUCCAGCAAAGCCAAAAAGCCCAAGCAUGUAGCCCUGCCCGAAGCACGCCACACGCAUGGAAAACCCAGAGGAAAUGAGUGAGGAUCAAUGGGAAGAAGAGAGCCAGCCAGCUCUGUAUUCUAAGAACCUGGAAACAAUCUUUAUUCACACUGUUAAGACGAUUGAGAAAAAUGGAUGGAUAGAGUUUAUUUGCUAAGAGAAAAACUGAGUGACUACCUAGCUACCUCACUCCUUUUUGCUCUAUUGGAAGUUGAAGAUUUGUCCAGGAGCAGAUAGCUGAAGAGAGAGAGAGAGAAGAGAGAACGGCUUACAGCUCAGGUCCUCUCUCCAUGCUUAGGAACCACUACAAAUGCUACUGCCUUGAGUCUCAUUUUGUUUCCCUCUGGAAACCACAUGUGUACCUUGUUUGCAACAGUAUGGUUCUGGAGACCAGAAGGCCAAAAUCAAAAGUAUGGGCAGGCUUGAUUUCUUUAGAAGACUCCAGCGGAGAACUGUGUCUCCUUGCUUCUGAUUCUACAUCUCCAUCCAUGGGCCACUGUUUCAGCAACCUCAGCCAGUGCAACACAACCUCAGCCAAGAAGAGUAUGCAGAGAAAGGAGUCCCCUACCUGCCACAAAACUGUUGUCUGAAAACUGUCUCAUAUUGUCUCAAGUUGUCAUUCAUUGUGAAUUAGACCUGUUUAACAUGUAAUCUGCAACA
ensembl:lncRNA CASC15 cancer susceptibility 15